rnacentral:lncRNA from 1 species
AACUACGAAGCGAAAUUUGUGUGUAUGGCGAUAUCUUUUUGUCUUGUGGAGAAAUUUCGACAUGGUUGUUGAAACAGAGUAAACAAAUAUUAUCAUUUCACAUAGUCGGUCCACAGGGCCAAAAUGUUGUAUUACGACGCCUGAAAAACACAUUUGUAUAUGGAUGCUUGCUUCAUCCCAGCAAAUGGCCGCUGCGUAGAGUUGUCGGCCAUUUUUUUUCGACGCCCGGUAUCAACAUUUGAGAUCGUGCUCGUUUGCCGUCAACGCUGCCGAAGAGAAGUAAAGGUCUCAGUAGAUUUACGUUACAACGCCAGCGGUGCUGCACUUUGCGUUCACUUGUGGCUCGUAUUGGGCGGUCAACAGCCACAUGUUCGACCUAUUGUCUGCAACGCGUUGAAGCUAUAAAAAUCCAAUUUCGAUAGCGCAAAAAAGAAAUUUGGAGGCGGAGCAAAAGGAGAACCGCGUCUACCCGCAACUCUCGCUGUGUGCUCAGGACGAGACGAAAAUCGGCAUGCGAUUCUAGCAGUUGCAGUUCCCGUAUGGUGCGAGUUAGUGGACUUUUCAUCUAAUCCGUGGACCGUAUUACAGCUAAGGUCUCGUAUAAUGGCCAAUUAUUUAAAUUGAUCGUUACGAAUUUUCCUGACAAAGGAGGUAGUUUUCUACUAAUAAAGUAACAUUUUGUUAUUCUGAAGCCAAACUCAUUGUUGAAAGUUUUAUGUUUGGCACCACUGUUAGAUGGCUUCAUCAGAUGGCUGGCUCUCAGCACGAAAUGAAGUGCGUCAACGACCGUAUUCGAACCCAGACCACCACGUGAAGCCACUUGGAAGCCAAGUCAAUAUUUGAGCUAACUCA